UUAAGCGACUAAGCGUACACGGUGGAUGCCCUGGCAGUCAGAGGCGAUGAAGGACGUGCUAAUCUGCGAAAAGCGUCGGUAAGGUGAUAUGAACCGUUAUAACCGGCGAUGUCCGAAUGGGGAAACCCAGUGUGAUUCGUCACACUAUCGUUAACUGAAUACAUAGGUUAACGAGGCGAACCGGGGGAACUGAAACAUCUAAGUACCCCGAGGAAAAGAAAUCAACCGAGAUUCCCCCAGUAGCGGCGAGCGAACGGGGAGCAGCCCAGAGUCUGAAUCAGCUUGUGUGUUAGUGGAACGGUCUGGAAAGUCCGACGGUACAGGGUGAUAGUCCCGUACACCAAAAUGCACAGGCUGUGAACUCGAAGAGUAGGGCGGGACACGUGGUAUCCUGUCUGAAUAUGGGGGGACCAUCCUCCAAGGCUAAAUACUCCUGACUGACCGAUAGUGAACCAGUACCGUGAGGGAAAGGCGAAAAGAACCCCGGCGAGGGGAGUGAAAAAGAACCUGAAACCGUGUACGUACAAGCAGUGGGAGCACCUUCGGGUGUGACUGCGUACCUUUUGUAUAAUGGGUCAGCGACUUAUAUUCUGUAGCAAGGUUAACCGUAUAGGGGAGCCGCAGGGAAACCGAGUCUUAACUGGGCGUUAAGUUGCAGGGUAUAGACCCGAAACCCGGUGAUCUAGCCAUGGGCAGGUUGAAGGUUGGGUAACACUAACUGGAGGACCGAACCGACUAAUGUUGAAAAAUUAGCGGAUGACUUGUGGCUGGGGGUGAAAGGCCAAUCAAACCGGGAGAUAGCUGGUUCUCCCCGAAAGCUAUUUAGGUAGCGCCUCGUGAAUUCAUCUUCGGGGGUAGAGCACUGUUUCGGCUAGGGGGUCAUCCCGACUUACCAACCCGAUGCAAACUACGAAUACCGAAGAAUGUUAUCACGGGAGACACACGGCGGGUGCUAACGUCCGUCGUGAAGAGGGAAACAACCCAGACCGCCAGCUAAGGUCCCAAAGUCAUGGUUAAGUGGGAAACGAUGUGGGAAGGCACAGACAGCCAGGAUGUUGGCUUAGAAGCAGCCAUCAUUUAAAGAAAGCGUAAUAGCUCACUGGUCGAGUCGGCCUGCGCGGAAGAUGUAACGGGGCUAAACCAUGCACCGAAGCUGCGGCAGCGACACUAUGUGUUGUUGGGUAGGGGAGCGUUCUGUAAGCCUGCGAAGGUGACCUGUGAGGGUUGCUGGAGGUAUCAGAAGUGCGAAUGCUGACAUAAGUAACGAUAAAGCGGGUGAAAAGCCCGCUCGCCGGAAGACCAAGGGUUCCUGUCCAACGUUAAUCGGGGCAGGGUGAGUCGACCCCUAAGGCGAGGCCGAAAGGCGUAGUCGAUGGGAAACAGGUUAAUAUUCCUGUACUUGGUGUUACUGCGAAGGGGGGACGGAGAAGGCUAUGUUAGCCGGGCGACGGUUGUCCCGGUUUAAGCAUGUAGGCUGGUUAUCCAGGCAAAUCCGGAUAAUCAAGGCUGAGGUGUGAUGACGAGGCACUACGGUGCUGAAGUAACAAAUGCCCUGCUUCCAGGAAAAGCCUCUAAGCAUCAGGUAACAUCAAAUCGUACCCCAAACCGACACAGGUGGUCAGGUAGAGAAUACCAAGGCGCUUGAGAGAACUCGGGUGAAGGAACUAGGCAAAAUGGUGCCGUAACUUCGGGAGAAGGCACGCUGGUGUGUAGGUGAAGUCCCUGCGGAUGGAGCUGAGACCAGUCGAAGAUACCAGCUGGCUGCAACUGUUUAUUAAAAACACAGCACUGUGCAAACACGAAAGUGGACGUAUACGGUGUGACGCCUGCCCGGUGCCGGAAGGUUAAUUGAUGGGGUUAUCCGUAAGGAGAAGCUCUUGAUCGAAGCCCCGGUAAACGGCGGCCGUAACUAUAACGGUCCUAAGGUAGCGAAAUUCCUUGUCGGGUAAGUUCCGACCUGCACGAAUGGCGUAAUGAUGGCCAGGCUGUCUCCACCCGAGACU
rnacentral:rRNA from 1 species